UAAACGAGAACCUCUAAAUGAGUAAAGUAUCCAUAAAUAUGAUGCAAGAUGCUUUUAUGGAUACUUUACUCAUUUAGAGGUUCUCAUU